rnacentral:rRNA from 1 species
AUACGGAGGGUGCAAGCGUUAUCCGGAUUUAUUGGGUUUAAAGGGUGCGCAGGCGGAAUGAUAAGUCAGUGGUGAAAUCCUACAGCUUAACUGUAGAACUGCCAUUGAUACUGUCAUUCUUGAGUACACUUGAAGUGGGCGGAAUGUAUCAUGUAGCGGUGAAAUGCAUAGAUAUGAUACAGAACUCCGAUAGCGAAGGCAGCUCACUAAAUUGUAACUGACGCUCAGGCACGAAAGCGUGGGGAGCAAACAGAAGUAGAUACCCUAGUAGUCC